AGAGUUUGAUCAUGGCUCAGGACGAACGCUGGCGGCGUGCCUAACACAUGCAAGUCUUGGGAGAAAGAGGUAGCAAUAUCUUGAGUAAACCGGCGCAAGGGUGAGUAACACGUAGGUAAUCUGCCCAGAGGACGGGAAUAACUUCGAGAAAUCGAGGCUAAUGCCCGAUGAUUUUCCGAUAUAGCAUUGUAUUGGAAUUAAAUGCCGCAAGGUGCCUUUGGAUGAACCUGCGUCCCAUUAGGUAGUUGGUGAGGUAACGGCCCACCAAGCCGACGAUGGGUAGCUGGUCUGAGAGGACGAUCAGCCACACUGGAACUGAGACACGGUCCAGACUCCUACGGGAGGCAGCAGUGAGGAAUAUUGCGCAAUGCCCGAAAGGGUGACGCAGCGACGCCGCGUGGAGGAUGAAGGCCCUACGGGUCGUAAACUCCUUUUAUGAGGGAAUAACUUCUCGCUAUAGGCGAGAUUGAAUGUACCUCAAGAAAAAGCAUCGGCUAACUACGUGCCAGCAGCCGCGGUAAUACGUAGGAUGCUAGCGUUGUCCGGAUUUACUGGGUGUAAAGGGAGCGCAGGCGGGUUGGUAAGUCGGUGGUGAAAUUCUUAGGCUUAACCUGAGAACUGCCAUCGAUACUGCUAAUCUUGAGUGCAGAAGAGGUUGAUGGAAUUCUAGGUGUAGCGGUGAAAUGCGUAGAUAUCUAGAAGAACACCGAUGGCGAAGGCAGUCAACUGGUCUGCUACUGACGCUCAUGCUCGAAAGCGUGGGGAUCAAACAGGAUUAGAUACCCUGGUAGUCCACGCCCUAAACGAUGAAUACUCGAUGUCGGGSCGCAAGGCUCGGUGUCUAAGCUAACGCAUUAAGUAUUCCACCUGGGGAGUACGAUCGCAAGGUUGAAACUCAAAGGAAUUGACGGGGGCCCGCACAAGCAGUGGAGCAUGUGGUUUAAUUCGAUGCAACGCGAAGAACCUUACCUGGGUUUGAAAGGCUCUGUAAACCGGUGAAAGCCGGCUAGUGUAGCAAUACACGCGGAGUACAGGUGCUGCAUGGCUGUCGUCAGCUCGUGCCGUGAGGUGUUAGGUUAAGUCCUGCAACGAGCGCAACCCCUGCACUUAGUUGCCAUCAGGUAAUGCUGGGCACUCUAGGUGGACUGCCUACGCAAGUAGUGAGGAAGGUGGGGAUGACGUCAAGUCCUCAUGGCCCUUACACCCAGGGCCACACACGUGCUACAAUGGCCACUACAAUGGGCUGCAAAAUCGCAAGGUUGAGCCAAUCCCAUAAAAGUGGUCUCAGUUCGGAUUGAGGGCUGCAACUCGCCCUCAUGAAGCUGGAAUUGCUAGUAAUCGCGGAUCAGCACGCCGCGGUGAAUACGUUCCCGGGCCUUGUACACACCGCCCGUCAAGCCAUGGAAGCUGGGAGUACCCGAAGCCGUUCACCCAACCGCAAGGAGGGAAACGCCUAAGGUAAAAUCAGUGACUGGGGCUAAGUCGUAACAAGGU
rnacentral:rRNA from 1 species